UGCAAAAAUCGAAGUAUAGGAGGUCUUGCCUGCCCAGUGACAAAUUAAACGGCCGCGGUAUUUUGACCGUGCGAAGGUAGCGCAAUCACUUGUCUUUUAAAUGAAGACCUGUAUGAAUGGCUAAACGAGGGCUUAACUGUCUCCCCUUUCCAGUCAAUGAAAUUGAUCUGUCCGUGCAGAAGCGGACAUAAGAAUACAAGACGAGAAGACCCUUUGGAGCUUAAGAUACAAGAUCAACCCCGUCAAGAACACAAAAUAAGUUAAACUAAGGGGAUACUUGAUCCCUAUCUUCGGUUGGGGCGACCACGGGAGAAAAUAAAGCUCCCAUGCGGACUGGGGCUAAUGCCCUAAAACCAAGAAAGACACUUCUAAGCAACAAAACAUUUGACCAUACAAGAUCCGGCAAACGCCGACCAACGAACCAAGUUACCCUAGGGAUAACAGCGCAAUCCCCUUUCAGAGUCCAUAUCGACAAGGGGGUUUACGACCUCGAUGUUGGAUCAGGACAUCCUAAU
rnacentral:rRNA from 1 species